GACGAACGCUGGCGGCGUGCCUAACACAUGCAAGUCGAACGAGGUCCAUGCAGUGGCAACACUGCGGAAGACCUAGUGGCGAACGGGUGAGUAACACGUGAGGAACCUGCACCGAAGACCGGGAUAACUCUCCGAAAGGAGUGCUAAUACCGGAUACCCCCACCUGGCCGCAUGACCGGCUGAGGAAAGGGAUUCCGCUUCGGGAGGGCCUCGCGGCCUAUCAGCUAGUUGGUGGGGUAACGGCCCACCAAGGCAUCGACGGGUAGCUGGUCUGAGAGGACGAUCAGCCACACUGGGACUGAGACACGGCCCAGACUCCUACGGGAGGCAGCAGUGGGGAAUCUUGCGCAAUGGGCGAAAGCCUGACGCAGCAACGCCGCGUGGGGGAUGAAGGCUCUCGGGUCGUAAACCCCUUUCAGCAGGGACGAAUCAAGACGGUACCUGCAGAAGAAGCCCCGGCUAACUACGUGCCAGCAGCCGCGGUAACAC
rnacentral:rRNA from 1 species